CAGUAGCCAUUUACUCACACGGCAUAUUAUUUUUAAAUCUUGGAUCCAUAAAUGUAACUUUUUCUUUAUAGACCUCAUUUCUCAUCAUGCACAUUAAGCCAACCGGAUAAAUGAGCAGCAAGGGAAAUGAAGCCCAAAACAUGUGGCUAACUUUUAUAACUGCAGAUGGUGGUGGUUUUGUUUCUUAAAAUAUUUGUUGACC